UCCCAUCCAUUUGCCAACCUGAUGUCAAUAAUAAUUCAUUCUAACAGCCACAUAGCAAGUCGAUACUAUCAAUAUGCCAGAACUCAUAAUCAGACAAAGGUUAUGCUCUUUCCAAAACAUCUUCCAUAAGAGCUCUGUCAACUAUUUUCUCAGGUUUGUUGGAGCCAUUAAUGAUAAGGAUGUAAAAAAGCACUUCUAGUGUCCAUCUCCUGCCUCAUUGAAUCAUGUUUCAGAUAUACAAUAAAUUGGCUGAUGGUCCUUAAUUAAACCUCAGUAAGCAAAAGACAAAAUGGUGUCAGGAAUUUUUGUCCAAAAUAGUUGUUAUAUGAAGUUUUUAGUGCUACAAAAGGAAUAUAUACCAACCCCAUUAGGCAUAUACUUCUUCCUUCCACCAAAUAUGGUUUUCAAUUGUACCAUUAGAUAUGGUAAUAAAAAUAUAUUUCCUCCUGUUACUCACAGCCACUUAUUCCUUAUUGUCGUCAAAUUUCAUCAACAGGUUAAUUCUAGCUGAUUGAUUCAAGCUCAGGAAGACUACAUUGGUUGGCAACUGAUUAUGCUAAGUUCCUCGACAAGAACAACCAAGAACAAGUAAAAUAUUGUACUAUAACAAGUAUUUCGCACCACAUGCUGGUGCUUUCUGGUAAAUUCAUUAUUUCCAUAGAAGUGCAGACAAGCAAGUAAAACAACAACAUAUCUAUGAAUGUAUGUUCAUCGUCUCAAAGAUGGAGACUAAAUCUUCUCAAAAUUAGAUAAAUUAAUAACCAAAAUGAAAGUCAACUGUAAAGCCCAUAUCUUGCACCUAGAUAUCAAUCAUCUGGUUGAAUCAAGUUUCACCACUAAGAAAGAACUUACCAGCUUUAGUUACCAAAAAAUUUGGAAAGGUGCUUAGUUUAGAUGACACUCAAGCGAAUUAAGAUGUAUAAGGUGCUCAUUGGGGCGCUUGUUUGGACACCACAAGAUCUAUCGGCCCAAUAAGAUCUUCCUCGUGCUUCAGCUAUUUUAAAGAUCCAUUGGGAGUUGGACUGUCAAAAGAGAACAGGGCAGCCACGACACAAUCUAUCCCUUUUUUUAAAGGGAUAAGAUAAGCCACCUUGGAAAAGGACUUACUUAUCCUUGAAAGCAUGGAUUAAUUGUGUUGCCAGCUGCCACAAUCUCCCCUGCAGACCCCAUUUCCAGCAUGUUUUUUAACCUCAGCUUUCUCAUCGAAAGACAAGCUUAUUGUCAGGCAUCCAAAGAUGGCCUAAGGAUCCAGGCGUGAUGUUAACUGUUCGAAGACUGCUUUCCAAGACUCCCAAGAUUCAGCAAGUAGUGUCUUGUAUUUUUUUUUUUUCUUUUUCCCAGAUUACCCAGUAUUGUCAUAUGUCAUUGGGAGGAACAAGCCAGCUUCUUAGCUUGUGCUUGGUUUUGGAGUUAGGCGGUGAUAAAACCCACUAACCCACCAAAAGAUGCUCGGGUUAAAGGACUUAAAUUGAGAGGCAGAGAAGGUAUUUCACAAAAAUCAGUGUGCAUUUUUCACUUGAUUUUUUUUUCCUUCUCUUCUAAGCUAGUUAACCCAUACAAUAAGGAAUGAAUCUACUCUGUUGAAAAAGGAGGACUACUUAUUUUUCUGCUUUAACCCUCCAUUUCUUGCUCCAAGUUACUCUACUUAAACAAGUUGAUGCGAUGUUUUGCUACUUUCAAACAAAAUUUAGUAACGUGAGCACAAAUUGACCUAGUAAAAACAAAAUAUGCAAAAGAAUUUUCAUAUAUUUCCUCCAAAUCACAUAAAACAAAUUUUCCCUUAAUGUUUACACCAUCUUGUAGGUCUUUUGCACAAGAUAAAUGAGAUAAAGUUUGAGAAGGAGCAUAUAUUUCCAAGAUUUUAACUCAAGAAUUUUCUUGACAAAAUCAAGGCUCGUGUAUCAUAUAUCAUGUUGACACAAGUAUGCAAGGAUGAGCAGUAUUGCUAUUAAACGAGGCAAGGAUUGCAAUAGACUUGUUACUGCCUUGCUGUCAAUAAUGCCGGUGCAGCACUUCCUCUUUAGAUAUGUUUGACAACACUCACAUCUCCACAACGUUCAUCUAAAGUGCUUGGAACCUAAAGUUUUUAUUUUUAAAAAAAAUAGAAAAGGUAAGAAGACAUGAAAUUAUGAAUUUCUACAAGUUCAUAACCAUGAUCUUGAAAGAUCUCGAAAGAACCCACAUUCAGCCAUUCAGGCUCUUCACAGCACACAGAAUCCUAUUUUCUCCCAGAAUAAUUAUCCAAAACACAAAUAAACCACACAAGUCUCCGCCUAAUCUACCACACGAUACAACCACAUUUUUUCAGACACCAAAACAAGACUAGAGUUAUCAAUUUCACCACUGCAGUCGUCCUUCCGUUAGAAACCAAAUCAACUAAACAACAGCUAAUUAAUGGCGAAUAGAAGCCAGAUCUCCUCUAUUGAUCUACCAAGCAACGAGAACGACAACCAUUGAAAAGAAAACAGCGAGGUAACAGUAGAGAAAGACGAGGACAGGAUCGGCAUCGUCUGAUCUCACCGGGGGCUGGAGAUUUGGGGUGCUGCGAUCGCUUGGGAGCGGCCUCAGGGGAGGAAGCGUAGGGCGAGUCGGGGGAUUCCAUGACGGCGGCGGCGGAGUUCGGCGGCGGAAGCGAGGGCGAGAGAGAGGAGGAGAAGCGAAGAGCGUCUCUCAAGCUGUUGGCGAACGGCAAGGAGUUCGAACCAUCCUUCUCCACCUUAGGUUUCGUGUCAUGAGAAAAAGGGAGAGGUAGUCGCGACCGGGGCCCGUUGCGAUAUUGUUCUUUGUGUAUCGCAUACACAGCGUCCUUCCAAUCCUGACUGCAAUUAGGAGACCCGUAAGGCUGACCCGGAGAGGAAACCAACUUCCUUCUUCCACCC
rnacentral:lncRNA from 1 species